rnacentral:lncRNA from 1 species
UUAAAGAAUAAAAAAGGUAUUUAAAACACUAAAACAUGUAAUUAAAAAGUACUAAAAUGUAUUUAAAAUACAUUAAAAGACAUAAAAGAUAUUAAAAACACCAACAAAAAUUAAAGAAAAAAAGAGCAAAAAUGUGAAAUAAAAUAAGAAAAUAAGAGAUGCAUGGGUGUAGAGCCAGCAAGGGGUGUGCACAGAACUAAGGCACAAGGCCCAUCAGAAGGCCCAAUGUGGCCUUGGCUGAGUCAAGACAGAGGGAGUGUAAGUGAAAAAAGGGGUUUUAAUAGCAAACAAUGGGCUAAGAGGCCCAAUGUGCAGUCACCAAAGAGAGAAAGAGAGGCAUCGGUGUGGUGUAAUGCAUUUCCAUUCAACCUCGAAACCUGAGCUAGUUCAUCAAAACUCAGAACCUCGCCGCUCCGGAAAUCGCCUCGGGCGACGGCGGGGAUCCAAACACUCUCAAAUUUACGCUGUUUGAUUUGUCCUCUCACCCUCUCUUUCAUUCACUACUUAGUUUUUCCUAAUUACCAGCCUAAUCCUAGAAUCGAACCACGCAUUGCAUGAACCCUAAUUUCCUAAGUGAAUGGAAUAGAGUGACUGAGGUUCAGAGAUAUUGAGCUGAAACCAAAUCAAAGAGUGAUGAGAAUUUGAGAGAUCUUGUGUCAAUGAUUGAAGAAUGAUCUCUGGAAAAGUGAAAAUCCUCCUUAAAGAUUGAGAAAUGAUUGGUUAUAUAGAGGGGAGUGAUGCUAACAGAAUGGGGUAGUUAGGUCAGAGGCGUUAGGGCAAUGCACCUCUGUCAGUUUUUCAGUGGUUUUGGUUGUUAGCAGUUAGCAAUUCUGUUAGCCUUUGUUAACCUUGGUUUUUGAAUUUAGUUACGAUGUUAGAGUCUAAGUUAGUGUUAAUUUCACUUAGUUAGUUAGGAAAGAGUUAAAAACUGUUUUAAUUGUUAGUUAUGAUAUCAAUUAGUGAAACUCUCAUGACAAUUCAACUCAAUCGAGUUAAUCUUCCAAUCAGAAAUGAAAUGAAGUUGGACUGUCAUAGCUUGAAUGGAUGGUGUGGUAUUGGUUUAGUUAGUUAUGGCUAAAUCUGUUAUGUUAUUUUAGUCUAGAUUUAGGUGUUAAUAAUUAAGAUUCAAGCUAGUUAGUAGCUAGUUGUAGUUUUAUUAACAAGUUAGCUUGUUAGUUGAAAUUAGAGUUAUGUUGGCAGUUAGUAAAGUUAGGCUGGAUAAUUGUGAUGUUAGUUUAGCAAGCCAACUAUAACUCUUAUGAAUUUACCAAAGGUUUGAAUCUGGUACAAAUUGGUUCUUCCUCUUCAUGCUCUUGAAUGCAGCAACUUGUCCAAGUAUUUGUGUAGUCAAACUAGAUUGCUUAGAUUUUGUAUGUAGGUAGUUUUUACACUUGCUGGUUUGGGUUUUUUAUGGCUAUGCAGAGAUGCUUUAAUCAAUUUCUAUGAUGCUAAGUUGAUACUUAACUGACUGUUAGGGUGAACUAGUAUUUUAAAAGUUGUGAAUUGAUAUGGGACUGAUGCUUGUUGUGAAUCACAUUGGACUGUGAGACUGGUAAUGAUCUAAAUUAUUGAUAUGAAGUUUUAGUGGCAGGCUGUUAUGGAAAUUUGUCUUGGUGAGCAUCAAUUAGAAAAUUGAGAGGACCUCAUGGUAAAUGCUUGUUAAAGUAAUUGGAAGGUUAAAAUUAGUCAUGGAGGAAAAGUGGUUAGUUAGCAAAGGAGGUUAGUGUAAUAUUGCAGUUAAUAAGUGAUGGAGUGGUUUGUAUGCUUGUUUGCUUUAUACCUUGAUUAUUUAUAUAUUGGAUUGGAAGUGAGAAAUUGUGAUUGAAUUGUUAGUGUAUGAAUGCUAAUGGUCACGUGUGUUUUUGUAGGACAUAUAUGCACAUGUGGAUGAGGAAAGACAAGGCUAAGCAUGGUUUUAAGUCAUGGCAUAAGGACACUUAAGGCACAUGAAGAAGACUUAGAAGGCUUGCUAUUAAAGAAUAGGAAUAGGGUUUAGGAAUAAAACUAGGUAGUUGACAUUGGUCAACAGUUUUACCAAAAAGUCAACAGUUGACCAAAGUCAACUCUAGGUCAAACAUGUGUAAUUUUGAGUAGACUUUGCAAUUUGGAUCUUUUGUAAUAUAAAUGGAUUUGUUUUUGAAAUGACGGGCUUGUAUAUGAAGAAAGAUGAACUUUCCCUCCAAAACUUAAAUUUUGAAUGUUUGAAAUAUGUUUGCAAUUGCAUCUUGAUCUUGAA